GACGAACGCUGGCGGCGUGCUUAACACAUGCAAGUCGAACGGAAAGGCCCUGCUUGCAGGGUUCUCGAGUGGCGAACGGGUGUGUAACACGUGGGUGCUCUGCCCUGCUCUUCGGUAUACGCCUGGAACACUGGGUCUAAUACCGGAUAGCCGCCCUUUUUAGUGUGUGGGUUGGAGAGUUUUUUCGGUGUAGGAUGAGCUCGCGGCCUAUCAGCUUGUUGGUGGGGUAAUGGCCUACCAAGGCGGCGACGGGUAGCCGGACUGAGAGGGUGGACGGCCACAUUGGGACUGAGAUACGGCCCAGACUCCUACGGGAGGCAGCAGUGGGGAAUAUUGCACAAUGGGCGCAAGCCUGAUGCAGCGACGCCGCGUGGGGGAUGACGGCCUUCGGGUUGUAAACUCCUUUCGCUAGGGACGAAGCUUUUUGUGACGGUACCUAGAGAAGAAGCGCCGGCUAACUACGUG
rnacentral:rRNA from 1 species